CAGCUGAUUCAUUCACAUGACAGCCGGUUUGUCUGGUUUACAGCCCGGAAAGUCUGUUUUUUACCGUCAGCGGACAUUCUGGGAGGAUAAAAGGAUGUUUGCUGUUUAAGCGAGAAUUAAAGAGAUCAUUAAAAACACGAUUAGCGGCAGCCACGGAGUGUUUUAGCCAAACAGCAGGUCGUUGGGUUUAAGUCACUCCUGGAGGAACUGAAGAAGUCCUUUGAAAUGGGUCCAGAAGGGAAGAGGCUUGUGAACAUCAUCGUGCUGGGUUUGGGCUUCAUGUUCAUGUUCACAGCUUUUCAAACGUGUGGUAACAUCGAGCAAACCAUCAUAAAAAGCUUCAACAGCACGGAGUUUCAUGGCAGCGGGU